GAGGGUAUCGCUCAGUGGUAGAGCAUGUGCUUAGCAUGCACAAGAUCUGGGUUCAAUCCCCAGUACCUCCA
rnacentral:tRNA from 1 species